GGGCUCGCUCGCUCACCGGGCUCCGUCACUGGGCUGGCUCCAUGGGCAUCCCCUUUCCUCUCAGUGUUAACUUUACUGCUGAGGAAGCUCCCAUCCACUUAUCAGUGUUCUUCCCUUCCUCCCAUCCAGGACUCAGUGUGGAUCAGUGCAGCAGCCCUGGAGCCCCUCCUGCCCUGCACACACAGCCCAGGGACUCCUGGUGGGACCAGGAACAGCCACGCUGACUGGGGCACGAGUUCAUACCACCAAAACCCUCCCUCCAUCAGCUUACAGAGCAGGGAAGCAAAAGACAGGGUUUAUUUAUAUUCUUCCUCAAGUGGAAACCAAAAGAAGUGACCUGUUAUUACUGAAGAUUUCUCAAGCCACCCAGGAAGAAAAGUGAUAUUUAGUUGUCGUUAAAGGCUCAGAACUGCAUAACAAUUUCAUGCUAUGUUAACUUCUAGGUUUUCUCUCGCAUAUAAAUUUUUAAGGAGUAAAAUAGAAAAACGCAGGCACUUGACCUUUAAUCACAGUUAUUUGUGUGAUCAGUCAAGUGUGGGAAAAAGCUAGUUUGUGCUUGAAAGAUGCCCUUUAAAGCCAGAUUGCUCUAAUAUGACACACAACUCUCACAGUGUAAUAUACAGGAUCUUGCUUGCCUGCCUCCAGGCACAGCAGCUUCCUUUUAGUAUUCACACACUGGGUCUUGCUGCUGGGACAAUGGAAGGUAUCAAUGUCAUAAAGCAAAUCAAUCCAGCCCCCUGGGACAGCUCCAUUCACCACCGAGCUCCACAGGCAUGUUCACUUUCCUGUCACUGAGGAGCCAAGCAGGGAAGAGGAUUUUGGAAGUAUAUGGAGGAUUUGAUGUUAGAUAUGUUUUACUAGAAGAAGGGUUUGUCAUGUUAAAAGCACACAGCUUAUCCAUUUAUCUGAAAUAUUAUUCCAAGCACUUAUAAAAUCUUGGUAGUAGAACAGCCAGAGGUAUUUUAAUUAAGAUUUUAAGUACCAUGCUUUGGGAAAAUGAUCUCAUGAAUUUUGUUUCAGCAGCAGCAGAUGACAAAGCCAUUGCUGGUGUGAAGAAAACAGAGACAGAGCAGCCUUUAAUGGAUACUACUGGAUUUCUUCACAACAGGAUGGAGGGAUGCUGUCCCCAGGAUGGCACAGCACGGGGCCAGUAUCUGCAGGUGAAGGAAGAGGAACGCCAGGUUCUCUGGUCACCUCUGCUGCUCACAUCCAGCUCUGAGGCUGCUGCCCUUCCCCACUCCCACCUGGAGCCCGCAGAGACAAGAGCAAAGGGAAAGCAAAGACAUCAGGACAAAGGAGCCAUGAGGAUGCAGGCCUCAAUGUACAGCUGAAAGAGCAAUCCUGGACAAAAGAUGGAGCAGGCAGAAACCUCAUGGAAGCUUUUGCACCUCUCCUUUCUCUUCCACACUUGCAAGAUUAUUGUACAAUGAAAAACAAAGGAUUUCUGCAAUUCUGUACUGUUUUUGGCAUGUCACACAAACACACUCCAAGCCUUCUGCUGUGACAAGGGCAGAGCCAGAGCAGGGGAAGCAGCAGCAAUGCAGCACAAGUGUGCCUGGCAUUAGGGAAUAUCCCACAGAGGAAAGUGGCCCAGAGAAUCAGGUCCCAGGGGCACCUCACCAGUCUGCCACCCCCAGCUGAUCCCAGGGGCACAACGCUCCAUCACAGCCAGUGCUGGCUCAUCCCUCCUGCUAACUGGCAGAAAUCACAGUGAAAAUGGAAGUUAAUUUAAAGACUCCUCCUGGAAGAGAGCCCACACGGGGACAGCAAUUAGGCUCCAGAUCUGGGGUCACCCUGGGGUGGGGCUGGCCUGUGCCCUGUGCAGUGGUUCAGGUCGCUGUCACAUUUGGCUAUCCAGAGCUGGAAGAUGCAGUUCCUCAGUGGAACUGAGGACAUUUCAGACAUUAUUCAAUCCCAGACUGAACAAUUUAUCCAUAAACCUUCCUAAUGAGCCUGAUAGUGUAGGAAUGAGAGAAAGUAGCAUUGUUAUCUGUAAACAGCAGCAGCUGACAGCGUGUUUAAUCACAGGCUACAUAACAGUGACAUCCGUGGAGAAGAGGAUUUGACACUUCUCCAAUUAGUCAAACAGCAAAAGCACGAACACAGAGCCUGAGGCUCACUGAACCCAAAACAAACAACAAAUAUCAGAUCUGGGGAGUCCCAGUGCGGGGGAGGCAAUUGGAGCCAGGGGCAGGCUGUGCUGGAGCCCUCCCCAACACCCUGAGGGCAGCCAGCAUUCGAGGGGAGCCCUGGCACCACUGCAGAGCCAAAGCCACACUAAUACCACAGGCUCUGCCCUGCCUCGAGAUCUGCAGCCUGCCUCUGCCUAACAGGAUUUUGCAAUCCAUGGUGAACAUGCUAAUGGGAUAGAGAGGUAAAGAGUUCAUCCUACUCACUUUUCUCUGCUUCUUUUCUUUUUUUUCCUGAGCAUCUCUCUCCCGGUUUUCUCUGGCUCACCUCUUUCUGAGGUCUGCAGAUUAAAAGAAUUAAUACAA